rnacentral:rRNA from 1 species
GAUUAUUGGGCCUAAAGCAUCCGUAGCUCGUUUUGUAAGUUUUCGGUUAAAUCCAUACGCUUAACGUAUGGGCUGCCGGGAAUACUGCAUAACUAGGAAGUGGGAGAGGUAGACGGUACUCGGUAGGAAGGGGUAAAAUCCUUUGAUCUAUUGAUGACCACCUGUGGCGAAGGCGGUCUACCAGAACACGUUCGACGGUGAGGGAUGAAAGCUGGGGGAGCAAACCGGAUUAGAUACCCGGGUAGUCCCAGCUGUAAACUAUGCAAACUCAGUGAUGCAUUGGCUUGUGGCCAAUGCAGUGCUGCAGGGAAGCCGUUAAGUUUGCCGCCUGGGAAGUACGUACGCAAGUAUGAAACUUAAAGGAAUUGGCGGGGGAGCAC